GCAGUGGUGGCUCAGUGGUAGAAUUCUUACCUGUCACGCAGGAGACCUGGGUUCGAUUCCCGGCCGAUGCA
rnacentral:tRNA from 1 species